rnacentral:rRNA from 1 species
GUUGAUUUCUUCGGAUUGAUUCUUAAUUGACUGAGCGGCGGACGGGUGAGUAACGCGUGGGUGACCUGCCCCAUACCGGGGGAUAACAGCUGGAAACGGCUGCUAAUACCGCAUAAGCGCACAGAGCUGCAUGGCUCGGUGUGAAAAACUCCGGUGGUAUGGGAUGGGCCCGCGUCUGAUUAGGCAGUUGGCGGGGUAACGGCCCACCAAACCGACGAUCAGUAGCCGGCCUGAGAGGGCGACCGGCCACAUUGGGACUGAGACACGGCCCAAACUCCUACGGGAGGCAGCAGUGGGGAAUAUUGCACAAUGGGGGAAACCCUGAUGCAGCGACGCCGCGUGAGUGAAGAAGUAUUUCGGUAUGUAAAGCUCUAUCAGCAGGGAAGAUAAUGACGGUACCUGACUAAGAAGCCCCGGCUAACUACGUGCCAGCAGCCGCGGUAAUACGUAGGGGGCAAGCGUUAUCCGGAUUUACUGGGUGUAAAGGGAGCGUAGACGGCAAGGCAAGUCUGAUGUGAAAACCCAGGGCUUAACCCUGGGACUGCAUUGGAAACUGUCUGGCUCGAGUGCCGGAGAGGUAAGCGGAAUUCCUAGUGUAGCGGU